GCGCCAAUACCACAGUUGGGUAUAGUUUGAACGGUUGUUUGACCAAUACGACUUCAAAACAAAAAUCAUGAACGCUUCAAUUCUGCUGUUUUGCUUGGUGGCGGCGUUCCUAGCCGUACUUGGGGCUGCAGUUCCGGUUGUCGAGAUGGCUGAGAACGAACUAGUAGAACGCGCGCAGCGAGCUGCUAUGGAAGCACCGGAUUGCUUGUGGAUGGGAUGUAUCUAAGAAAAAUCUCGGUCAUAGCCAGUGAAGCUGAAGCGGGAACGAUUUUUCCGAAACCAAAUGAUAGUAAAUAAAUCGUUGUGAAGAAA